rnacentral:rRNA from 1 species
CUUGCACCGAGCGGAUGAGUUGCGAACGGGUGAGUAACGCGUAGGUAACCUGCCUCUUAGCGGGGGAUAACUAUUGGAAACGAUAGCUAAUACCGCAUAAAAGUCGAUAUCGCAUGAUAUUGAUUUGAAAGGUGCAAUUGCAUCACUAAGAGAUGGACCUGCGUUGUAUUAGCUAGUUGGUGAGGUAACGGCUCACCAAGGCGACGAUACAUAGCCGACCUGAGAGGGUGAUCGGCCACACUGGGACUGAGACACGGCCCAGACUCCUACGGGAGGCAGCAGUAGGGAAUCUUCGGCAAUGGGGGCAACCCUGACCGAGCAACGCCGCGUGAGUGAAGAAGGUUUUCGGAUCGUAAAGCUCUGUUGUAAGAGAAGAACGAGUGUGAGAGUGGAAAGUUCACACUGUGACGGUAACUUACCAGAAAGGGACGGCUAACUACGUGCCAGCAGCCGCGGUAAUACGUAGGUCCCGAGCGUUAUCCGGAUUUAUUGGGCGUAAAGCGAGCGCAGGCGGUUAGAUAAGUCUGAAGUUAAAGGCUGUGGCUUAACCAUAGUACGCUUUGGAAACUGUUUAACUUGAGUGCAGAAGGGGAGAGUGGAAUUCCAUGUGUAGCGGUGAAAUGCGUAGAUAUAUGGAGGAACACCGGUGGCGAAAG